GACGAACGCUGGCGGCGUGCUUAACACAUGCAAGUCGUACGGAAAGGCCCUUUCGGGGGUACACGAGUGGCGAACGGGUGAGUAACACGUGAGUAACCUGCCCUCGACUUCGGGAUAACUCCAGGAAACUGGGGCUAAUACUGGAUAGGAAUCCUUGCUGCAUGGUGGGGGUUGGAAAGCUUCGGCGGUUGUGGAUGGACUCGCGGCCUAUCAGCCUGUUGGUGGGGUAGUGGCCUACCAAGGCUGUGACGGGUAGCCGGCCUGAGAGGGCGACCGGCCACAUUGGGACUGAGAGACGGCCCAGACUCCUACGGGAGGCAGCAGUGGGGAAUAUUGCACAAUGGGCGGAAGCCUGAUGCAGCAACGCCGCGUGCGGGAGGACGGCCUUCGGGUUGUAAACCGCUUUCAGCAGGGGCGAAGCUUGUGGUGACGGUACCUGCAGAAGAAGCACCGGCUAACUACGUG
rnacentral:rRNA from 1 species